rnacentral:rRNA from 1 species
UACGUAGGGGGCAAGCGUUGUCCGGAAUCAUUGGGCGUAAAGAGCGUGUAGGCGGCCCGAUAAGUCCGCUGUGAAAGUCCAGGGCUCAACCCUGGAAUGCCGGUGGAUACUGUCGGGCUCGAAUCCGGAAGAGGUGAGUGGAAUUCCUGGUGUAGCGGUGAAAUGCGUAGAGAUCAUGAGGAAGACCAGUGGCGAAGGCGGGUCUCUGGACAGUUCCUGACACUGAGACACGAAGGCCAGGGGAGCAAACGGG